UACGUAGGGGGCUAGCGUUGUCCGGAUUUAUUGGGCGUAAAGAGCGCGUAGGCGGCCGAGUAAGUCCGACGUGAAAUCUGGAGGCUCAACCUCCAGCGGUCGUUGGAAACUACUCGGCUAGAGUCCGGAAGAGGAGAGUGGAAUUCCUGGUGUAGCGGUGAAAUGCGCAGAUAUCAGGAAGAACACCGAUGGCGAAAGCAGCUCUCUGGGACGGUACUGACGCUGAGGCGCAAAAGCGUGGGGAGCGAACAGG
rnacentral:rRNA from 1 species